rnacentral:rRNA from 1 species
UACGUAGGGGGCAAGCGUUGUCCGGAAUCAUUGGGCGUAAAGAGCGUGUAGGCGGCUCGAUAAGUCUGCUGUGAAAGUCCAGGGCUCAACCCUGGAAGGCCGGUGGAAACUGUCGGGCUAGAGUCCGGAAGAGGCGAGUGGAAUUCCCGGUGUAGCGGUGAAAUGCGCAGAUAUCGGGAGGAACACCGAUGGCGAAGGCAGCUCGCUGGGACGGUACUGACGCUGAGACGCGAAAGCGUGGGGAUCAAACAGG